GAUCCUGGCUCAGGAUGAACGCUGGCGGCGUGCCUAACACAUGCAAGUCGAACGGAGUCGUUUUGGAAAAUCCUUCGGGAUUGGAAUUCUCGACUUAGUGGCGGACGGGUGAGUAACGCGUGAGCAAUCUGCCUUCAAGAGGGGGAUAACAGUCGGAAACGGCUGCUAAUACCGCAUAAAGCAUCAAAUUCGCAUGUUUUUGAUGCCAAAGGAGCAAUCCGCUUUUA
rnacentral:rRNA from 1 species